UACGGAGGGGGCUAGCGUUGUUCGGAAUUACUGGGCGUAAAGCGCGCGCAGGCGGUUAGUCGCAUCGGCGGUGAAAGCCCCCCGCUUAACGGGGGAGGGUCCGUCGAGAUGGACUGACUGGAGGCAGGGAGAGGGCGGUGGAAUUCCGGGUGUAGUGGUGAAAUGCGUAGAGAUCCGGAGGAACACCAGUGGCGAAGGCGGCCGCCUGGACCUGACCUGACGCUGAGGCGGCGAAGGCCGGCGGGGGAGCGAACGGGGAUUAAGAAACC
rnacentral:rRNA from 1 species